CAAUUAUUGUUCGAGAAAAUUAAAACAUGUGUCAAUGUGCGAAUGACUUGUCACAAUUCUACAAUCACAUCCACAUACUUCUCGGAAAAAAAAAAUUCUGAAGAUUCAAUUGUGACAAUAUUCCAAGUCAAUCAUAAAUCGUGCAAUAACACAACAAAUUGCAAAUAGAUCCAAUCCUCAUUUCCUCCAAAAUACAAUUACAAAGGGAUUAUGAGAAUCCAAACAAAGUCUUUAGUAGAAGAUUACAUACUUGUCCCAUGAAACCUCCUCCCCCAAUGUCAUAAAACCAUCUCCUAAUAGAGAUGGCCACUUCUAUGAAGGAAACCAAAACAAACUUCUAUCCACAUAUAGAGAGAGAGAGAGAGAUAGACUUUACGCCUCCCACUCUCUCUCCUCUUCCCUUUUAUUCCUCUUAAUUUACAUAUACAUCUUUUGAGUUUACACAAAAAGACUCACCAUAAAUUAAACAUAUUAAGAUCAACUCACUUGACUUGUAUAUACAAAAAUUACACUCUCCAUCUCAAAGACCCCCCAAAAAACAUUAAUCUUCUUCCUCCUCCUCUUGAUAUUUUUCCCAAAGCACAAAG
rnacentral:lncRNA from 1 species